AAUAGACUCAAUGGUGAAACACUAUAUACAUUAUUUUAUUUUAGCAGCUGACAAGAAUAGGGGCAAUGAGGGUUUGAAUGCCUGAGUGAUUCUGGGCAGAGAUUAGAGCCGAGGCUCUAGGUAUAUCUGAUCCAGCUUGUAAAUUACUCUGGCUCCAACAUAAUGGGGUUUUGUGCGAUUGCUCAAUGUUCAGUUGGCUGAAUGGUGAGGGGACAGGUGUUUUCUGAAGGCUUGCAGCGUGUGGUUUGUGGCAAGUCGGAGGGGAGGGAGACAAUCUGAUUGCUCCGGCUCUGCAUUUCUCAACAUAAACUUCUGGUUUAAGGUAAGGCGGAGAGGUGAGAAGAGUUUCUUAAUUCAAACCCUCCAACACACAUGCAGUUCCUAAAUUAGCCUACAUUUACUAUACUCAUUAAAACCCUUCCUAAUUGGGGCUUUCAUUACUUUCUCUCUCCAGAUUGGUUGGUUGUAUUCCAGUUAAUCGUGUGCUGUUGGGAGUGAUUAAGACCUCUCAUUAUCUCAAGAUAAGUAGGGCCCAUAAACAGGCGAUAAUGACGCUUCUAUCGAUAGUCUGAGAACCUUGUGCAGCAAGGUACUUAGCUCCAAUUACAAACAAGUGAUGUAAUCUGACUUAUACCUUGAACUUGUGAGUUUCCACAGUGAACAUACUGUAUUGAACAUGCAGUUACUUUCGGGAGUAAGAUCAGAGACGUCAGAUCUUCAAAAAUACUAUCACAGCAACUUAGAACAACAAUUUAGUACAAUUUAAUUGUUGAACACAUAUUUGGAUUCAUUAUACAGAUUGUGGCCUGACAAAGUUUAUGUAAAUUCUCAGAAACACAAUGCUGCCAUUUGACCACAGGAAUCUAACCCAUGUUAGUCAUGCUAGUUUCAAAACAGCUUUGUCUCUCUUUUGUCCAGUUUAUAUCUUUGUCUCCUACCACAGCAUCUCUCUGAUCUAGAGCUCAGAUGUAAUAUCCUGAUUGUACCCUCUCUUCUUAUACGUUUUUGAAGAAUGCUAGCCCUGGUGGUGUGGUCAGGGCAAGACAGAUUUUGUCUCAACCUAACUUUUGAGUUUGGUAGUUAGGUAAACACUAUACCUGUGUAAAUGAGGCUCACUGCCAGGUUCAGUACCAAUUUGCUCAUACAUUUGCAGGCAUUGGAGUACAACGGAGUACAACCUUGCUGUCUGCUUUGAAACAAUAUCUUGGCUGAAUUGUGGGACCUCUCUCUGUAUCCCAUUCAUGUCUCUUGGCUUCAAACAAGCCUUGUGUCUUAAAUCAAGAGCAAACAUGGGUAGACUUGCAAAACACUAUGUAUCAAAGGGGAUAUAGAGGGUGCUGGUGGAAGCCUUGUAAAGGCAGGUCUCAUCCGGAGUUGGCCUAAGCCCGUUGUUAUAUCCACAGUUAAACCUCUGCUAGGUAUGCCUGGUCAAAGGGUACAAUAUAUUUCCUGGAUCUGAUGUCCAAGCCCAUAAGUCAUAUCCCCUGUGCGGUCAUGCAGGACUAUAUUCGCUUGUCUUAUGGGAGUAAAGAACAUUUACUGAAGGAUCUUUAAUGCCUUUGACUUGCAACAGCAUAAGACAGCCUUAGACAUCCUGUGAUUCCAUAUAAUACGGUCUGGGCAGAUAAUGGCGUAAGUUUGGGUACCAACCGUUAAACUGUUGCAAGUCAUGUAACUCCAAGCUAUAUAGCACAUGAUAUGAGCCUAUCAAUUUAACAAAGUAAAAAUUGAAUGAGCCAUUCUAUUCAAUAGUCAUAGUUGCGUAAAUAUACUUUUCCAAUUACAUUAGAAAUAUAACAUUUAAAAAAAUGAAAUCGCCAUACAGAAAGAUAACUUUAGAUAAAUGCUUAACAUGAUAAUUCAUAAUAUCCAGACAAUACAACUUUAAAGAAAACAGUAGUUUCUUAGGUUGAGAAAAGGGCCAGUUGAACUUUGCAUUUGUCUUUAAUCUGAAUACGGCAGGCCAAAAUCCAAUAAGCCCUUUGCUUUCCUUUUCAGGACAUCCCCUUAUAGCAACUCAAACAGUAUAUGUAAUCUCAAAGUCCACAGAACCCGACCAAUGAGAGACAUGGGCUGGACUCUCAUCAAAACCCCAACAAGAAAGUCCCAGGCAUAUCAAAGCAUCCAGAGGAGUGUCCUAUUCUCUUAAACAAACCCUAGAGAAAAUAACCCACUCUCCCACUUUCUUUCCCCCUCCCUUCCUGCAGUCUGUUUGUGUUUUCAGUCCCCCCUCUCUCUCGCUCUCCCUCCCUCCCCCUCUUUCCCUGCUGUUUGUCUUUUCAGUUGUUUGCCAGCUGACCUCCUGAAAGCUGAAAGGAGCGGGCUCAUGGCGGGUGACAUUGUGAUGACAUCAUAAUGGGAAAAGACUGGGAUGCGCAUGCUGCGAGGGGAAGUGAAGCCGCCUACUCCCAGGGUUCGAGGCCACAGAGGGCCAGUGUUGAAGAGGUGUGAAAGACUGGGAUAGACCUGCUUGUCUAACACCAUGCCCAGAUAAUACAUUUACAGCCUGGCUCCCUUCACUUCAAGGAAGACUUGACUCGUCUCCAAGAAAUGGCAGGAUACUGGUCCCACUGGACCUUUGAUGGAAAUUGAUCUUGGCGCAGGCUUUGAGAGACUUGCUAUGUGAUGGCUGCUCAGGGGAAGUGUCAUUUUCACACGUGCUCUCAGUCUGUCUGUAUGAACACAGUGUUUGUCUGUCUGUCCACAUGGUUCACAGGCAUGGGAAAGUGGGAGAGAGUUUGUCUUGUUUCUCACCCUACUAAUCCAUGGGAAGAAAAGGGUCCAGCAAUUCCAAUGAGUUAUUUUCGUUAAGAUUGACAUUAUUAUGUUGUUGAUCGUAGGGCCUUUAGUAAAUGGGCUUGGUAUUUUGUUAUUUGUUAUAUACAUUUUAAAAGUCUGGGCCUCAUUAGCUGGUAUAACAUUGAUUUGGGAAAACCACUCAGGAAAGAAUCUGAUCCAAUGGGAGUUCCUCUGUUCCUUAGUUGGUUGGAAACCUGUUUGUGGUGUCUAAGCUGACAGCUUAGCCUCCAGAAUUUUCCAGGGUCCGUCAAAUAUUAUCGCCCGACACCACUGGUAUGUCCGGAAUCCAUGCAUGGGCGCGCCACUUGGCUCCGUCCUCGGCACCCUGUCAUUGUGUCAUACUAAUUAAAUGUGCACUCUGAAAUAAACGAAGGGAUUCUGUUUCACAGAGGAAAAGUCUACUGUAACAACUUCUUGGAGCACCUCCACCACACACAGGGGAGGUGACAAACU